UAUUACGAUGUACAUGUUCUGUCAUUGCUCCGUAGUAAACAUUGAAAAAUAUUGAAUAUUUUUGUGAUUGUGACAAACAUUUGUGUCUAAAACAUAUAGAGUGGUCAAGAACAAAUAGUGGCAUAAUGCCAAAGCGCAGUAUUGUGGGAUGUGGCUCCGAAAAGAAUGAAAACCAGAAAAGUUUGUCUUUGCACCGGUUACCAAGAAGUGAAAAUAGAAAAGGAAAAUGGUUAGAAGCAAUUGAAACUGAAAAUAUCAAGCCAAAUGUAAAGGAUAUAUCAUAGUAUGUUCCCUACAUUUCCCCGAAAGUGCUUUCAAUAGAACAAUGGAUGUGAUUAGUCUGCACGAUGAUGCUAUACCAGUAUGUUUGCCGCUGCAUUCACACAGGGUACCGGUUGAGCCUCAAAUCCCGAACUCAAAAAUGAACAGAGUGAAUCCGAGUGCAUCACAGGCUGCACGAAAUAGUUUAGUUCUUUAUUUUUCUCUGUUAUUAAGUAAUUAUUGUUUUUUUUUCUAUUACCUACUGUAUAUUGUGUUGUUCAUCGUAAUAAAAAACUAUUAUAUACCUAUAUUAGUAUUUAUUUUGUAUCAUUAUAUUACAUUCCUCAAAACUGAAAUUAGUUCAGCUAAAAGGUAACAAACAGCACAUUCAAUGACUGGGUGGUACGAAGUUCACCGGGACCGCUAGUAAUUUAA